GGAUAGUGGCGAACGGGUGAGUAACGCGUAAGUAAUCUACCCUCAAGUAGGGGAUAACUCUGAGAAAUUGGAGCUAAUACCUUAUGUGGUGAUGGAGUUAAUGCUUCAUCACUAAAGCCUUAGGGCGCUUGAGGAAGAGCUUGUGUCCGAUUAGCUAGUUGGUAGGGUAAUGGCUUACCAAGGCGAUGAUCGGUAGCUGGUUUGAGAGGAUGGUCAGCCACACUGGGAUUGAGAUACGGCCCAGACUCCUACGGGAGGCAGCAGCAAGGAGUAUUGUGCAAUGGGCGAAAGCCUGACACAGCGACGUCGCGUGGGGGAAGAAGGCCUUCGGGUUGUAAACCCCUUUUCUCAGGGAAGAAUAAUGACGGUACCUGGGGAAGAAGUCACGGCUAACUACGUGCCAGCAGCCGCGGUAAUACGUAGGUGGCAAGCGUUAUCCGGAUUUACUGGGUGUAAAGAGGGCGUAGGCGGCUUUUCAAGUCGAGCAUAAAAUCUCCCGGCUUAACUGGGAGGGAUUAUUCGAUACUGUUGGGCUAGAGGACAGUAGGGGGAGGUGGAAUUCCCGGUGUAGUGGUGAAAUGCGUAGAUAUCGGGAGGAACACCAGUGGCGAAGGCGGCCUCCUGGGCUGUUGCUGACGCUGAGGCCCGAAAGCGUGGGGAGCAAACAGGAUUAGAUACCCUGGUAGUCCACGCUGUAAACUAUGGACACUAGGUAUAGGGAGUAUCAACCCUUUCUGUGCCGAAGCUAACGCUUUAAGUGUCCCACCUGGGGACUACGGCCGCAAGGCUAAAACUCAAAUGAAUUGA
rnacentral:rRNA from 1 species